UACAGAGGUCCCAAGCGUUGUUCGGAUUCACUGGGCGUAAAGGGUGCGUAGGCGGGUCUUUAAGUCAGGGGUGAAAUCCUGGAGCUCAACUCCAGAACUGCCUUUGAUACUGAAGAUCUUGAGUUCGGGAGAGGUGAGUGGAACUGCGAGUGUAGAGGUGAAAUUCGUAGAUAUUCGCAAGAACGCCAGUGGCGAAGGCGGCUCACUGGCCCGAUACUGACGCUGAGGCACGAAAGCGUGGGGAGCAAACAGG
rnacentral:rRNA from 1 species